GAGGAGGGAGGUUAACAGGAGCUUGUUUGCAGCUGGAAACAGUAAUCAUAGUUUUACAGUAAUCAUAGUUUUAUUUCUGUUGGCAUAAAAUGUAUGUGUAUAUAUAUGCAUAUAUAUAUGUGUGUGUGUGAUAUUUAUUUUUUAUUUUUUAAAUUUCAGGAUACCAUCUGUGCCUGGUAGAAACCUCUUCUAUGGAAUAAAGCUGUAAAUGGCCUCCAAGGGCAGGCAUUUAUGACCACACUGCAUCCAUCAGAAGAUGGAAGAAUAUGGGAAGUGUGGUAAGAAGAACUGCAGAGCCAGCCGAGUCAAUUGGCAUGCGUGUCAGUCACGUCAGAAGCUUUAAACCAACGAUGCCUCUCUUUAUCAAGCCCUCUUAUGAAGCAAGGACAGGAAACUACCAGAAUCCUCAAAAGCAAAUGACACAGAAAAGGAGUUUUCUCCAUAGUGCCAAUUACAACAAGAAGACGGUUUGAACUCCCGAAUUCACUGAAUGCCUCCAGAAAACCACCAGUAACUGGGUAACACACUAGGAUGCAACGAGAACACCCCAGCAUCUGGAAUGGAAAGCUUCAAUACCUGCAAGCGUAAUGAUACCCAGACAGCACAUCUGAGAGAGCAACCACUGUUCAUACUGUCUGCCUGCUGGCUGGAUAACAGCUUCAGAGGAAGUUGCACAUGAUUCUGCAAGAGAUGGUUGUAGAGAAAGUUGCCCAGAAGGAAAUUACUU
ensembl:lncRNA